ensembl:snRNA U2 U2 spliceosomal RNA
AUUGCUUCUCGGCCUUUUGGCUAAGAUCAAGUGCAGUAUCUGUUCUUAUCAGUUUAAUAUCUGAUACGACCUCUGUCUGAGGACAGUAUAUUAAAUAGAUUUUUGGAGUUCAGAGUUGGAAUAUGAACUUGCUUCAUCCACUCCAUGCAACGACCUGGUAUUGCAGUACCUCUAGGAACAGUACACCCCCU